rnacentral:lncRNA from 1 species
GAAAUGAACAAAAGGCUCAGUUAAAAUGGGACGGAGGGAGUAGUUAACAAGAGUACAACUGUUUGAUAACAUUGGUCAUUGUCGGUUGUCAUGAGUACCCUCUCUUUCUAGUAUGGUGCUGUGUUUACUAUAUGAGAUCAUAAUCUUUGUAUCCUCUGCGUUUUAAAAAAUGAUUGCAGUGAAUUGGAAGUGGUCUGUGGACUGUGAUCUUCAAAUCACCUUUAUUUGGUACUGAACAAUUUAGUUCUUUCCUUUAUAUGGUUACUAAUGUAAUUGACCCUUGUCAAGCAUGGGAUAGUAUUUCACUCGUAUAUAGUGUAUGAUCCAACCUGACAAGAUUGCUACUGUAUUCACUCAUAAGCACGGGAUACUAAUCAUUCCUUAAUAUGAUUCCUUGUGCAAAACUAACCCAUUAGGGGGUGUUUGUUUCAAGGUUAAGAAUGACAUUCCUGGAAAUACAUGGCUAGGGAAUGAUUAUACCCAUGUUUGUUAUGAGGUUGAGAAAAAAAUAUUCCUGGGUAUAAAGGUUCCUGGGAAUGGAGUAACUUCCCAUAACUUCCAUUAUUCCCAUGAUAUUAUGCAUAGAUUUAAAAAAAAAAUUGUAACUUCCAAUUUUUCCAGGAAUGUCAAGUUAUUUGCCAAACACUUUUUUUAACAAAUACCCAAGAAUCAAAUUUUCAUAUUUUCAUUCCCGGGUAUGUUAUUCCUGUGAAUAAUUUGUGUUUCCCAAAAACAAACGCCCCCUUAGUAUUGACCUAUAUAUAGUGUCAUUACCCGUGUCAAACCAACAUGAGGUUAUCAUGUUAUUCAUUGUUUGGCAUCCUGGAUGAAGUGCUCUUAUGGUUUCGAUUGCAGAGCAUGCUUAAGGUGUAUGGUGUACGUGGUCAUAUGUUAAGAUUUGACUUCUUCAAAGUUAGUAGUUCACUUUAAACGAAAACAUGAGAAAUCCGGAAAAUCAGCACUUAAAAUAUUAUAUGUUCAUGUAUAGUAAAUGAUGAAAUUAUUAAAAUCAUCUUUUGUUUUAUUGUAGUAAAAUAUCCCUCUUUUCUCAUCAAGAUGAAUUAUCCAUUUUCAAAGAGCCAAAUCACAACUUUUAAUUGCUACAUGAAUACCAGAGUCUUGUUUUAUUUAUUUUUCGGUAAAUCUCUAGGGGAAUUAUACCAAAGUUAUGUUACAGACUACUUGAUGGUUUAACUAAAAUACUGAGCGCUUUGUUGAACAGUCCUUUGAUUAAAUUCUGAUACACAUUCCAUUUGUGAGUGCUGAUCUCCCCCUUAUAUGCUCGAAUCUGUCAAAGUACACUACCGGAAGUGACUUUUGGUAGUGUAUUUCUAGAUAAAAUACACAACCGAAAAUUUGUUUCCGGUAAAAAGCUGCAUUAUGAGGUGUUAUGAGCAAUCACCAAUGCCAUCCUGUAUCUGUUAGCAUACUGGGUUUGGGGCCUUAGGCCUUAGCACAAUAGAUGGGCUGAAUAGGGAAUUGCUCUUCUCCCAACAAAAAACGCUCACUCCCAUACAAACUGAUCAAAAUACCCACCACAUGACUUAUGUCACGCAGGUGUUAAACCCAACGUGACUUAAGUCAUGUUCGCUACAUUGGUAAAUUCCACGUGAGUUAACUCAUGUAGGUCAUAACCCAGCAUGAGUUAACUCUUGUAGGUUAUAACCCCAACGUGAGUUAACUCAUGUAGGUUAUACUUCAUCUGACCGAACGUGAGUUAACUCACGUGACGAGUAUUUUGGUCAGUUUGUAUGAAAGUGAUCGUUUUUUGUUGGGUGAAGCGCAAUUUUCAUUAAUUAGUGAGUGUCCAUGAGUAGGGAA